GUUAUAGAGAGGAAAGAGAGGGGGAGAGAUCGAAUGAUUGCGAUCUCAUCUGAAGGAGAUUGCCAAGAUUGCGGAUGGCGAUCUCGACCAGAAGGAAGGCCGAACGAGAUCGCACAGUGGUAUCUUGAUCGGGAUGUGAGAAGAAGGAGAUUGUAUGGUGCCAAUCUCCAUUGAAGAGGAAAAAUGUGUGCGCAGCCACCGUUGCACAUGUGUGAGGAAAGCCAUGUAGAUCCACAACUUCGACCACUAGUAUGGGUUCGUCUAAGGGAUUGUGCUAUGUGUUUUCUGCCGCAGGUGCUAGUGCGUGAGAGGGGGUGGAUCUGCUGAAAAACCACCAGAUCUGCGGAUGUAUGUGCGUGGUGUGUGACAGAGGUACACUUUGCACUACGAAGGUGUGAGGUAGUGGGGCUGAGUGCCUCUACUACAUGCAGGGAUGAUUUCACCAUUGCCGAUGUACACACGGGUGUUGGGAAUAGGAAAUCUAGUUCGAUUGGGCUGUAGGUUGGGCUAUGCACAGGUUGAUUGGUGUCGUGUUGGGGCUGUGCACGACAGAUCUACAACCCAAGCCUCUUCGUCGCCACAUGAUGUGUCAAAUCAGAUCAGUUCAUCUCCCAUACUAUGAACUAAAAGGGUAUUUUGGGAAACCUGAGUCUUCAAAUCACUCAAUAAAAAGAAAACCCUAAGAGACUUAAGACCCAACGGCCAAGGAAGGAAGGAAAGGGGGGGUAGUCGCGCGAGCUCACUUUAGGCAGUGUACUGACAUUGAUCCAAAGGUAAAUUCUUUGCCUUAGAUGACUUCUAUAAUUUUAAUCUUAAACCCAAAGGUAUUUUGGUGUCCUAUGCUAAAUGCUAAGGUAAUGUAAAGUUUGUCAGCUUAUUUUUUGCAGAUAACUAAUAAAAGAAAGAUUCACUACACCACGACCGUCCUCAUCCCAAAAUCCAGGAAAAAGUAAGAGUAGUUUAUUACUCUAAAUCCCUAAGUUUGAAAUAAUGUAGUGAUUUGAUUUUUUUAUUGAUGAAUAUUAUGGUAUUGUGUAGAGAUUAGUUAUUUUAAGAAUAUUUGAGAAUGAAGAUAUUAAGAAAUUUUGAAAGCAUUAUGUGUAUGAUGGUGUAGUGUGAUAACUUUGAAAUCUGGUGAAACAAGGAGUGAUUUAGGUUUCUUGGAUGUCCCAGGCGUCGAGAGGAAGAAGAUGAGUUUUUUUUUUUGGGGUGGGUAGUAAGUUGGGUUUACAACUUGUUAGGCUCGGAUUUGGAAGCUCCAGCAAUAUGGGUCAGACCAAGCCCAGUAAGCCUCUAGGUUUGAUUAUUAUUUUUUUGAGAAAAGGGUAGUUGUAAUAGAAACUUAAAUACUGAUUCAAUAUAUCUUAAAUAGGCUAGGAAAGAAGAGGAAGAAUUUGGAAAAAUAAAAGAAAAGAAGGGAAAUAAGAAUGAAAUGAGGUGUUACACAUAUUAAAAUAAAUUAAAACAUAAAUAAAUCAGAAAAAUUAAAAAUAUUACCAAAUGGGCUAAGCCUUAGUGGGCUUCUGGUUUAGUUGGAAGGGUAUUCAGUUAUGAUGAUUAAGAUGGGUUGGGGAGGAAUAUUUUAUUGGACUUCUAGCCUAGAAAAUAGAUAAAGCAAGUUGAAGCUAAUAAUUAUUUACACCCAAAGAAACAUCCAAACAGAUCACCUACUCAUAUUGUGAAUGAACCGUAAUGGGUUGUGUAAAUAAAAAUAAAUAUCAGGGACCAAAAGUCUUGAGAAUUAGUUAAGUUAAUUUAAGAAAGCUUUUAUUAAAUUCCUAAAAUGGUAAGUACUAUUUAUAUAGUAGUAUUGAUAGCAAUAAAAGCUUUGACAUUAUUAAAAAAAUAAAAAAUUAAUAAAAAAGGAAAGUGCAUUAUGAAUUAGUUAUAGAAUGGGUAUAAAUAAUUUAAGAUUGAUAGUGAAUAUUAUCAUGAGGAAAUGUCGAAGUAUGGACGAGUAUGAAUUAGGAAGUGAAUAAAUAAUUUCGUGAAGUAAAUAAUUGAGUGUAAUUAUGUGAUCAACAUUUUUGGAUAUCCUUGACAAAUUAAAUUAUCUUGAGAGAGAAUGAGUUUGAUGAUUUGAAAUGAAUAAAUUAGAAAUUUGGAAAUAAAGAAAUAGAUCUCUUAUUAUAAUUAAAUGAAAUUAGUAAAGUAAGGAGUUUAAUAUUAUAAUUUAUAAUAAACUGUCUUAGAGAAUACACAAGGUAAACAGUAAGGAUUUCUUUUCGGGGUGAUGUGAGUAAAUGUGCAGUUCUAGAUCGGUAUGGACUAAUCAUGAACUCUAUCUCAUGGACUGCUUAUUUCUCUGUAACUAUGACUGUUACUAAUAUUAUGUCCCUGGAGGACGAUGUGAAUUGUAACUAUGACUAUGCCCCUAGACGACGAUAUAAAAUCGUAACUAUGACCGUAACUAUGACUUGUGGAAGCUAUGAUUUGGUCCUUGUUGAUAGUGCGAAUUAUCAUCUCCUUCUAUGAUUAGGACUGAACGAUAUUCAUGAUAUGAUAAUGAGUCUAUGUGCAUAUAUGAUUGGUUGUUUUGGUGAAUGAAGAAAAUAUGUUGUUAUGUGAAUAUCUACAUGAGAUAGGAUAUUCUAUGUGCUUAAGGAAAGAUGUUAUUUGUGUGAAUAUGAGUGAUACCUAUUUUAGGAACGGUAUUUUAUGUGUGGAUAUAUGUAAUUAAUAUGAAUACGAUAUUGCGUUUGUGAGAUUGUGAAUAAAACAAAAGUAAUUUACGAGAAUGCAGUUAUGCAAUAGUUGAUACCACAUGGAUAAUUUGAAAUAUAUGGGAAGGAAAGAUACUUUAUGUGUGGAUAUGUCCAAUCAAAGUGAUUAUAACUUUAUGCAAUUAAGAUUGAGAAAUUAUGGAUAUCUUUUAAAUGAAAUGAUGUAUAUGUAAGUCAAAAACAUAUGAUUAGUAGGAUCAAUAUAGUUGUAGUAGGAUGUGGAAACUAGAUGAAUGUGAAGGGCAUGGUAAGCUAGAGGUAAAGGUAAUAGUUUAGAUCAGUAUAUUAUCUUUGAUCUUUGGAUUGGAGUCUUAAACUAUUCUUACUGAGUAAAUGAUGGCUCACCCCUUUUUUUAUAAAUUUCAUAACAAUGAGUGCAGGACCAAGCUGAAGAACCGUCAAAACAAGAAGAUCUUCCUUAAAAGGAACAAAAAAUAGAGAGACACUUGUUUUUUCUAUAAAUUUGAUCUUUCAGAUUUAAAAAGCGCCAUUUGAUCUCUUAGCUUUCAAGUAUAGUAGGAAAAAUUUUUAAAUACCCUACAAUAUGUUAUAGUUGAUGCAUGUUGGAAUUACUUGUCAGAAUGACAAUCCUUAUAGAAAAAUAUGAAUGUUAUUACUUACUUCGAUAUGCACGAAUGAAAAGUAACAGUCAUAUUAUUUAUGAAA